rnacentral:rRNA from 1 species
UAUGGUAUAACUUAGUGGCAGACGGGUGAGUAAUGUAUAGGAAUCUACCUAAUAGUACGGAAUAAUUGUUGGAAACGGCAACUAAUACCGUAUACGCCCUACGGGGGAAAAAUUUAUUGCUAUUAGAUGAGCCUAUAUUAGAUUAGCUAGUUGGUGGAGUAAUAGCCUACCAAGGCAAUGAUCUAUAGCUGAUCUGAGAGGAUGAUCAGCCACACUGGAACUGAGAUACGGUCCAGACUCCUACGGGAGGCAGCAGUGGGGAAUAUUGGACAAUGGGCGAAAGCCUGAUCCAGCCAUGCCGCAUGAGUGAAGAAGGCCUUUGGGUUGUAAAGCUCUUUUAGUGAGGAAGAUAAUGACGGUACUCACAGAAGAAGUCCUGGCUAACUCCGUGCCAGCAGCCGCGGUAAUACGGAGAGGGCUAGCGUUAUUCGGAAUUAUUGGGCGUAAAGGGCGCGUAGGCGGAUUAGUAAGUUAAAAGUGAAAUCCCAAGGCUCAACCUUGGAAUUGCUUUUAAAACUGCUAAUCUAGAGAUUGAAAGAGGAUAGAGGAAUUCCUAGUGUAGAGGUGAAAUUUGUAAAUAUUAGGAGGAACACCAGUGGCGAAGGCGUCUAUUUGGUUCAAAUCUGACGCUGAGGCGCGAAGGCGUGGGGAGCAAACAGGAUUAGAUACCCUGGUAGUCCACGCUGUAAACGAUGAAUGUUAAAUAUGGGAAGUUUUACUUUCUGUAUUACAGCUAACGCGUUAAACAUUCCGCCUGGGGACUACGGUCGCAAGAUUAAAACUCAAAGGAAUUGACGGGGACCCGCACAAGCGGUGGAGCAUGUGGUUUAAUUCGAUGCAACGCGAAAAACCUUACCACUCCUUGACAUGAAAAU